GAUGAACGCUGGCGGCGUGCCUAAUACAUGCAAGUCGAGCGAACAGACUAGGAGCUUGCUCCUCUUACGUUAGCGGCGGACGGGUGAGUAACACGUGGAUAACCUACCUAUAAGACUGGGAUAACUUCGGGAAACCGGAGCUAAUACCGGAUAAUAUAUUGAACCGCAUGGUUCAAUAUUGAAAGACGGUUUUGCUUUCACUUAUCGAUUGAUCCGCGCCGCAUUAGCUAGUUGGUAAGGUAACGGCUUACCAAGGCAACGAUGCGUAGCCGACCUGAGAGGGUGAUCGGCAACACUGGAACUGAGAAACGGUCCAGACUCCUACGGGAGGCAGCAGUAGGGAAUCUUCCGCAAUGGGCGAAAGCUUGACGGAGCAACGCCGCGUGAGUGAUGAAGGUCUUCGGAUCGUAAAACUCUGUGAUUAGGGAAGAACAAAUGUGUAAGUAACUAUGCACGUCUUGACGGUACCUAAUCAGAAAGCCACGGCUAACUACGUG
rnacentral:rRNA from 1 species